UUUUUUUGAGACAGGGUCUUGGUCAGUCAUUCAGGCUGGAGUGUAAUGGUGUGAACACUGCACACUGCAAUGUCGACCUCCCAGGCUCAAGUGAUCCUCCUGCCUCGGCCUCCCAGUGUUGGGAUUACACGCAUGAGCCACCACACCCAGCCAAGUCUGUCCUUCCUUAAUCAGAGUUCUUUUGAGUUUCAUUUUCUUAAGCUGCAAAAGCCACUGGACCAGGUGAUAUUGCCAACCCCUCUAGGCUGCUGUAACUGUAGUUUUGGCUCCUGGAUCUGCUUCCAAUUAGUUACGUUCCCUGUCACUUUGGAUAAGUCAUCCCAGCUCCAUGGCUUGUUUCUGGAACUCAAUUAUGGUCCAGAAGCCCGAGCUCUAAAGUGCUGAUUCUGAUGAGUGCCCAUUUACCAGGCACUCUGAUCCCAUCAUGGCAUCUGCUACAGCCUGGGAGGUCUAUUCAGGUGUGCAUUCAUGUUAAGCACUAUUACCAAUCAAAUCACUUAAAUUACAUAGGUAAUAAUCCAACAGCACAUCCAAGCAAGGCUGAAAGUUGUAAAAGAAAGUUAACACCAUGUGUGUGCGUGCGUGUGUGUGUAAGAGACAAGAUCUCUCUCUGUCACCCAGGCUGGAGUGCAACAGUGCCAUCAGCUCACUAUGGCCUCAAAUUCCUGGCCUCAAGCAAUCCUCCUGCCUUGGCCUCCCAAGUAGCUAGGACUAUAGAUAUGUGUCACCACGCCCUGUUUUAAGGAAGAAAAUUGUGUUGAAAAUGAAAAUCAAUACAUAAAGGCUGAACCAAAGCAAUGGGAAGGUGGUGGCUGUGUGUUAUGUUGAGGGACUGUCUCAAGUAGAACAAGACUCUUUUGACCCUUUGUCUUAGGGCAUUAAAGAAAACUACUCUGGGCAGGCCGGGCGCGGUGGCUCAUGCCUGUAAUCCCAGCACUUUGGGAGGCCAAGGCAGGCGGAUCACAAGGUCAGGAGAUCGAGGCCAUCCUGGCUGACAUGGUGAAACCCUGUCUCUACUAAAAAUACAAAAAAUUAACCAGGCGCGGUGAGGCCGGGCGCGGUGGCUCAAGCCUGUAAUCCCAGCACUUUGGGAGGCCGAGACGGGCGGAUCACGAGGUCAGGAGAUCGAGACCAUCCUGGCUAACACGGUGAAACCCCGUCUCUACUAAAAAUACAAAAACUAGCCGGUAGUGAAGCGAGGCCUGUAGUCCCAGCUACUUGGGAGGCUGAGGCAGGAGAAUGGCGUGAACCCGGGAGGCGGAGCUUGCAGUGAGCUGAGAUCCGGCCACUGCACUCCAGCCUGGGCGACAGAGCAUGAAUCCGUCUCAAAAAAAAAAAAAAAAAAAGAAAAGAAAAGAAAAGAAAAUUACUCUGGGCAAACAACAGCUUCCUUGAAUACUUUCACUUGUUUAAUAAAAUGCCAGAGAACCACAGAUAGAACCUAUAAUUCCUUAGGGACUACAAGAUCAGAGCUGACAGAGUUACGGUUUUCAUCAGUGCACUUACAGAAAUGGCAUCAGAUGGAUUUCCUUUGGAGAAGGGGAUUGGCAAGUCGCUUUUUUUUUUUUAACUGGUAAUAAAAUAAUCUACUUUCCAUCUUUACAAUUCCAGUAUUUUCAUACUUAAUUAUAAUUUUAACUUACGGCCUUGAAUCCCGAGUAUAAUUUUUUACUCAAAUAUAAGUUAUAAUUAAGGUAUUGGCCGCCCAACAAGAUCAAAUUAACUAAAAACUUAAGUUCUCCCAAUCACUGACCUUCCCAACCCCUAGUCCUCAUCCCCAGCCCAGCGGACUAUCGGGGGUCCAGCCUCAGAGAGGGUCUCGGGGAGCCCAGAGGCAAGAAAGCACCCGGAGACGCAGGCCUCCUCCUUCUCCAGGGUUGGCAGGUAGGCUGGGCGCGCUGCGGCCUUGCGCCUACUUCCGCUUCUCUGCAGCUGGGGAGCGCCCCGGGCGGAGA
ensembl:lncRNA